UACAGAGGUCCCAAGCGUUGUUCGGAUUCACUGGGCGUAAAGGGUGCGUAGGCGGUCGGGUAAGUCUGGCGUGAAAUCUCCAAGCCUAACUUGGAAACUGCGUUGGAUACUAUUCGGCUCGAGGAAUGGAGGGGAGACUGGAAUACUUGGUGUAGCAGUGAAAUGCGUAGAUAUCAAGUGGAACACCAGUGGCGAAGGCGAGUCUCUGGACAUUUCCUGACGCUGAGGCACGAAAGCCAGGGGAGCAAACGGG
rnacentral:rRNA from 1 species